rnacentral:rRNA from 1 species
ACGUAGGGAGCAAGCGCUGUUCGGAUUUACUGGGCGUAAAGCGUGUGUAGGCGGCUUUGCAAGUCGGAUGUGAAAGCCCACGGCUCAACCGUGGAAGUGCAUCCGAAACUGCAUCGCUGGAGUCCCGGAGAGGAAGGUGGAAUGCUUGGUGUAGAGGUGAAAUUCGUAGAUAUCAUGCAGAACACCUGCGGCGAAGGCGGCCUUCUGGACGGUGACUGACGCUGAGACACGAAAGCGUGGGGAGCAAACAGGA